rnacentral:lncRNA from 1 species
AAAAAAAAAAAAACAAAAUUCAGUACUUCGGUCAGCUGGUCCAGAGUAUGUGGAAAUCUAUGAUGCUCUUCUUUUAAAGUCUGCCUAUUUUGAGCUCUUUGUCUUGGUUCUGCGUUAUAUGAGUUUUGGGUGUUUGCACUUUUGAGGACCUGUUAAUGACAGUGAGCUCUUGUGGAGGGGGAGGUUUUGAAGAAUGUUCCUACAGCAUUCGAUUGCUGUGUGGUACAUAGCUAAUGUGGUACCAUUGGUUAGAACUGUAUAGCUUACACAUUUUCCAAUUAGAAGUUAACAUGUUGAACAAUUUCUUUUGACUGGCUAGAAGAUGAUACGGACAAUAUUAUUUUAGAUGCUCAAGAAUUUUAUUCACUUUGUUAAACAUGCACAAUACUGACUAAGCACGUGAUAUUUAUUUCUUAUAUGGGUUGGUUUCUUGAUUAUUAUAGCUGUCACUUCUGUUUCUCCUAGAACUUAUAUUCUUUUAGAUGUGAGUUCAUUCCUUUUGGUAUUGUCUUGGAGGAAUUGAUACAAGGAAAAUGGAUUGAUCUUACGUAUUGGAUUACUAAACUUAGUAUUUUGGAGUGGAUGUGUGCCAUGCUUCAGUCUGGCAAUCAGGUUGCAAAUCGUCUGGGUAUCAACUAAUGUGGUAGAGAUGCUGUUCUAGUCGCAGAACAAAGAAAAAUCAAGUGGAAAAACUUUGUUCACUUCCAGUGUAUAUCAACUAUAAUUUCUUUUUUACUGUAACUUUUACACAUACUCAGAGGGUUCUGAACCCAUGAGGUGCCUCAUCUAUAUUAGGAGGAAGAAGUGUCAUUUGAGCUAAACAUAAAUAUCUAUGAUUAACUCUUAAAUUAGACAUACGCUAGUCUUCUGAGUUCAUCAGUUGAUUGGACAGAUGACAGAUGUGCAAAUCACAAGGAUAGAUCACGAGUUUGUGCCAUCCAAGUUGAAUUGAUAGACAAGGAGCAGUGUGGGGAAUUUUAGAGAAAGGACUAUGAGUAGGGCUCUUACCUGCCAUCCAGAUGCUAGAAUGCUCUGUUUUCAUCUGAUACAAUGAUAUCAGACUGCUUAUUUACUGGAGUAAAACUUAGUCCUUAACUAACAAACCAACAAUCAUAAUCUCUCCCGUAAGUGUAAAACUAGCCAGCAUAGCGGUUGAAGCCUGAUUUUGCAUCAGGAUUCCCCUUAAGAAUCCUAGUCCUAACUAGAAUAUGACAUGUUCUAGAAUUUUCACCUAGAAACCCUCCUCUGCACCUGUGAGCACUUGAACUUCUUGGAAUUCUAAGUAUUAAUUUCAAGGUAAUUAGACUUCAGCUCCAUGGUCCCCAGAGGUAUGAAGAAAUUGGGCUAGCUGAUAUAGAGGCAUUUAGGGCUGUAAGUAGUAUUAUUAAAGAGCUUCCUCGAGAACUAAAAAUAGUAAGAAAUAGAUAUAGCAGACUCUAGGUGUUUUCAGCCCCCUUUCUGUGUUCAUCUACUUGUUCGUAUAUGGAACUUAGAGUAUAACAUCCUUAUUCUAACAUUGUAUUGUUCAGUCAAUACUUCAGCUCAAGCAUUGUUGAUUAUGAUUUCUUUACGGUGGAAAAGACUGCUUAUUGAAUAUUGCACGUUAUAUGUGACUAUCAUCUUGACUAACACUUCCUGCUAACUCUAGAAUCACAAACUCAAUUUUUGCUAUUAAGACUUCUAGGCACCUCUGCUUCUUCUUCUUUUUCCUGGG